rnacentral:rRNA from 1 species
UACGUAGGAGGCGAGCGUUGUCCGGAGUUACUGGGCGUAAAGGGUGCGCAGGCGGUGGCCCGCGUGGGCGGUGAAAGCUCCUGGCUCAACUGGGAGAGGGCCGUCCAGACGGGGUCACUUGAGGGGCGGAGAGGGGCGUGGAAUUCCGGGAGUAGCGGUGAAAUGCGUAGAGACCCGGAGGAACACCAGUGGCGAAGGCGGCUUCCUGGUCUGCGACUGACGCUGUGGCGCGAAAGCUAGGGGAGCAAACGGG